UACGUAGGGUGCAAGCGUUAAUCGGAAUUACUGGGCGUAAAGCGUGCGCAGGCGGCGAUGUAAGACAGAUGUGAAAUCCCCGGGCUCAACCUGGGAACUGCAUUUGUGACUGCAUCGCUGGAGUGCGGCAGAGGGGGAUGGAAUUCCGCGUGUAGCAGUGAAAUGCGUAGAUAUGCGGAGGAACACCGAUGGCGAAGGCAAGCCCCUGGGCCUGCACUGACGCUCAUGCACGAAAGCGUGGGGAGCAAACAGG
rnacentral:rRNA from 1 species